rnacentral:sRNA from 1 species
UGCUGACCGGGUGCCUGCACUAAGUUCGGCAUCAGUAUGGCGACCUCCUGGGAGCGGGGGGCCACCAAGUUGCCUAAGGAUGGCUGAACUGGCCCAGAUCAGAAACGGAGCAGGUCAGAACUCCCGCACUGACCAGUAGUGGGACUGUGCCUGGGCA